ACAGCAGGUCGACCUGUCGCCCCGGCUUUGUGUCGGGGAGGAAAGUCCGGACACCGUAGUGCAGCAUAGCGGGUAACGCCCGUCCACCGUGAGGUGCGGACCAGUGCAACAGAAAGCAAGUACAGUUCGGCUGUAGUGAAAUCGGCAAACUCUAUGCGGUGCAACGCCAUGUAGUUCGGCAAUUGAAGGCUGCACGCCUGAGCCGACGGGUAGGCGGAUCGAACCUCUGGGUAACCAGGGGUCCAGAUAAAUGACAGGAGUCCCGGCCUUUGGGCCAGGUAGACAGAAUCCGGCUUAUGACCUGCUGUUUUU
rnacentral:RNase_P_RNA from 1 species